UGUAAGCAUCUGACUAAAUUUUCGAGACUGGGCUUGCAUUCCUGACUUUCCAUUCUAUGGGAAGCAUGAUUAUUCUUGCCAACUCCCUGGCUAGUCAGCAGUCUUGAAGUGCCUGAUCAGUGGGUUUGAAGCGCAUCCUGAUCGCAACAGUCAGCUCCCCAGAAGGCAUGUCUGGACCAUAGUCCGUGGUAAAAGUGGAGAGCAUCGGUGCCUUACCUUUGUCGGUACCUUUGUCGACAGCUUCCCAACCAGCUGCCUGACUUCCUUCAGACUCGGCUUGGAUCGAAAGGACUUGCACUACUUUAGUCGAUCUUGCUGGUGCUUCGACGAUACCACAUUAUCGUUGGCUAGGGGAGAAGCAGCAAUUAUCACGACUUCGAUGGCAGGUGGCAGAGACGAGCGCUCCGACGGUAUUAGGGGCAGCGAUGGCGAUACUCGAGGCAGCGAUGGUGGCUGUGUACUCUUUGGUACCCGAGAAGGAGACUCUUCUCUUGACUUCUUCGGUGGUCGAGAGAGACCACUAGACCCAGAUGCCACCUUGCUCUUCUUCUUCCGGACCACCUCCUUAAGAGAUCCCACCAUAACCCUCAUGCCUGUACGGAC
rnacentral:lncRNA from 1 species